rnacentral:snRNA from 1 species
GUGCUUCCUUCGACAGUACAUGUACUAAAAUUGGAAUAAUACAGAGAAGAUUAGCAUGGCCCCUGCACAAGGAUGACACGCAAAUUCAUGAAGCGUUCCAUAUUUUG